rnacentral:rRNA from 1 species
CACGUAGGAGGCGAGCGUUGUCCGGAAUCAUUGGGCGUAAAGAGCGCGCAGGCGGUUUGGCAAGUCGGGUGUGAAAUCCCGGGGCUCAACCCCGUGACUGCAUUCGAUACUGUCAGGCUAGAGGUAGGUAGGGGAGAUCGGAAUUCCUGGUGUAGCGGUGAAAUGCGCAGAUAUCAGGAGGAACACCGGUGGCGAAGGCGGAUCUCUGGGCCUUACCUGACGCUCAGGCGCGAAAGCUAGGGGAGCGAACAGG